AGCGAACGUUUGCGGCGGGCUUAACACAUGCAAGUCGAACGGGCUGUUCCUUCGGGGGCAGUCAGUGGCGCACGGGUGCGUAACACGUAGGUAAUCAACCCUUCAGCUCGGGAUAACACUUCGAAAGGAGUGCUAAUACCGGAUGUGAUGCGGGGCUCUUCGGAGCGUCGCAGGAAAGAUCCGCAAGGAUCACUGAAGGACGAGCCUGCGGCCCAUCAGCUAGUUGGUGAGGUAAAAGCUCACCAAGGCGAAGACGGGUAGCUGGUCUGAGAGGAUGAUCAGUCACACUGGAACUGAGACACGGUCCAGACUCCUACGGGAGGCAGCAGUGGGGAAUAUUGCGCAAUGGGCGAAAGCCUGACGCAGCCACGCCGCGUGAGCGAUGAAGGCCUUCGGUCGUAAGACUCUGUGGGGGAGGAAGGAAAAAGAACCGGUAGGAAGAAGCCGGCCCGUCGACGGUAGU
rnacentral:rRNA from 1 species